CAUUAUUACAGAGCACCUGACUGCAAGAAGAUAAAUUCCAGUUCUAGACUAAAAGGAGAUUAUCAACUGCAUGACUGCAACCUGGAGGGCUAAAAAUCCUCCAGUCUCCUGAAAUUUGGAGCUCCAGCUCUUGGAAGACAGAGAAUGAGAUCAGCUCCCAUCACCUUUCUGCACUCAGCCUCGGGCCAUCGUUGUCCUCCAG